ACGGGAGGCAGCAGUGGGGAAUAUUGGGCAAUGGGCGAAAGCCUGACCCAGCAACGCCGCGUGAAGGAAGAAGGCCUUCGGGUUGUAAACUUCUUUUAUCAGGGACGAAGAAUGUGACGGUACCUGAUGAAUAAGCAACGGCUAAUUACGUGCCAGCAGCCGCGGUAACACGUAAGUUGCGAGCGUUGUUCGGAAUUAUUGGGCGUAAAGGGCAUGUAGGCGGUUUUGCAAGCUUGGUGUGAAAUCCCGGAGCUCAACUCCGGAAUUGCGUUGAGAACUGCAUAACUAGAGUCACUGAGGGGCAAUCAGAAUUCCAGGUGUAGGGGUGAAAUCUGUAGAUAUCUGGAAGAAUACCAAUGGCGAAGGCAGGUUACCAGCAGAUGACUGACGCUGAGGUGCGAAGGUGCGGGGAGCAAACAGGAUUAGAUACCCUGGUA
rnacentral:rRNA from 1 species